GCAUCGGUGGCCGAGUGGUUUAAGGCGUUGGCCUUAAGAUCCAAUGGAGAAAUCCGCGUGGGUUCGAACCCCACCCGAUGCA
rfam:Rhizoclosmatium globosum strain JEL800 BCR33scaffold_191, whole genome shotgun sequence.